GUAGAAAUCUUACCACUUCCAUACCCUGGCACCCAGCACAUAUCAGGCAUCCCAGGGCCCUGCCGCUCGUUCCAAAAAUAAACAAACCCUGUGACUUUGCUAAAAUCAACCAAUUGUAGCUGAACCGGAAGCGACUACAUCUGCAGCAAAACCUGCUUCUCCCCAAGAGCCAGCCCAGGAGCCACAUGGUGCCGCCCCAAGUACAGAAGAGCUGAACCCACUGAAUUUCUUGGUAGCAGGACAUGGCUUAGAAGAAGCAAAAAAAGCAGUGCAUAAAGGAGUUCAGCUUGGAAAACGUCUUUAUAAGGGUGGAGCUGACGUGGGACAAAAUCUGAAAAACUUGCGUGCAAAACUCAAUGUAGUUGGAGUCUGAGAAGUUGAAAAGAACG
rnacentral:lncRNA from 1 species